GACAGAGGGUGCAAACGUUGUUCGGAAUUACUGGGCGUAAGCGAGUGUAGGCGGUUUGAUAAGUCGGGUGUGAAAGCCCUGGGCUCAACCCAGGAAGUGCACUCGAUACUGUCAGGCUAGAGUAAUCGGAGAGGUUGGUGGAAUUCUCGGUGUAGAGGUGAAAUUCGUAGAUAUCGAGAGGAACACCGGUGGCGAAGGCGGCCAACUGGACGAAUACUGACGCUGAGAACUCGAAAGCGUGGGGAGCAAACAGG
rnacentral:rRNA from 1 species